AGGCCACUGCUAUCGGGGUCCGACUAAGCCAUGCGAGUCAAGGGGCUCCCUUCGGGGAGCACCGGCGCACGGCUCAGUAACACGUGGCUAACCUACCCUCGGGUGGGGGAUAACCUCGGGAAACUGAGGCUAAUCCCCCAUAGGGGAGGAGGUCUGGAAUGAUCCCUCCCCGAAAGGCGUAAGCCGCCCGAGGAUGGGGCUGCGGCGGAUUAGGUAGUUGGUGGGGUAACGGCCCACCAAGCCUACGAUCCGUACGGGCCCUGAGAGGGGGAGCCCGGAGAUGGACACUGAGACACGGGUCCAGGCCCUACGGGGCGCAGCAGGCGCGAAACCUCCGCAAUGCGCGAAAGCGCGACGGGGGGACCCCGAGUGCCAUCCCCUUGGGAUGGCUUUUCCGGAGUGUAAACAGCUCCGGGAAUAAGGGCUGGGCAAGUCCGGUGCCAGCAGCCGCGGUAAUACCGGCGGCCCAAGUGGUGGCCACUGUUAUUGGGCCUAAAGCGUCCGUAGCCGGCCCGGUAAGUCUCUGCUUAAAUCCUGCGGCUCAACCGCAGGGCUGGCAGAGAUACUGCCGGGCUUGGGACCGGGAGAGGCCGGGGGUACCCCAGGGGUAGCGGUGAAAUGCGUUGAUCCCUGGGGGACCACCUGUGGCGAAGGCGCCCGGCUGGAACGGGUCCGACGGUGAGGGACGAAGGCCGGGGGAGCAAACCGGAUUAGAUACCCGGGUAGUCCCGGCUGUAAACUCUGCGGACUAGGUGUCGCGUCGGCUUCGGGCCGACGCGGUGCCGAAGGGAAGCCGUUAAGUCCGCCGCCUGGGGAGUACGGUCGCAAGACUGAAACUUAAAGGAAUUGGCGGGGGAGCACUACAACGGGUGGAGCCUGCGGUUUAAUUGGAUUCAACGCCGGGCAUCUUACCAGGGGCGACGGCAGGAUGAAGGCCAGGUUGACGACCUUGCCAGACGCGCCGAGAGGUGGUGCAUGGCCGUCGUCAGCUCGUACCGUGAGGCGUCCUGUUAAGUCAGGUAACGAGCGAGACCCGUGCCCCAUGUUGCUACCCUCCCCUCCGGGGGAGGGGCACUCAUGGGGGACCGCCGGCGCAAAGCCGGAGGAAGGUGCGGGCAACGACAGGUCCGCAUGCCCCGAAUCCCCUGGGCUACACGCGGGCUACAAUGGCCGGGACAAUGGGACGCGACCCCGAAAGGGGGAGCGAAUCCCCUAAACCCGGUCGUAGUCCGGAUCGAGGGCUGUAACUCGCCCUCGUGAAGCCGGAAUCCGUAGUAAUCGCGCCUCACCAUGGCGCGGUGAAUGCGUCCCUGCUCCUUGCACACACCGCCCGUCACGCCACCCGAGUUGAGCCCAAGUGAGGCCCUGUCCGCAAGGGCAGGGUCGAACUUGGGUUCAGCGAGGGGGGCG
rnacentral:rRNA from 1 species